CGGUCCCUGCGGCACUCGUCAGGACUUUAAUUCCCCGCGGCCGUACAUCUCGUCGAGGGAGCUGCCUCUGAUAGGGAUCGUGGUCCCUGAUAAGCGGCGCCCACCUGCAUCUGUGGGCUCGAAGGGAAUUUACAAAGUCCAACGGUGACUGUGGGGCCGCU
rnacentral:other from 1 species